AAUAGAUACCCCGGUAGUCCACGCCGUAAACGAUGAGUGCUAAGUGUUAGAGGGUUUCCGCCCUUUAGUGCUGCAGCUAACGCAUUAAGCACUCCGCCUGGGGAGUACGGCCGCAAGGCUGGAACUCAAAGGAAUUGACGGGGGCCCGCACAAGCGGUGGAGCAUGUGGUUUAAUUCGAAGCAACGCGAAGAACCUUACCAGGUCUUGACAUCCUCUGACAACCCUAGAGAUAGGGCUUUCCCCUUCGGGGGACAGAGUGACAGGUGGUGCAUGGUUGUCGUCAGCUCGUGUCGUGAGAUGUUGGGUUAAGUCCCGCAACGAGCGCAACCCUUGAUCUUAGUUGCCAGCAUUCAGUUGGGCACUCUAAGGUGACUGCCGGUGACAAACCGGAGGAAGGUGGGGAUGACGUCAAAUCAUCAUGCCCCUUAUGACCUGGGCUACACACGUGCUACAAUGGAUGGUACAAAGGGCUGCAAACCUGCGAAGGUAAGCGAAUCCCAUAAAGCCAUUCUCAGUUCGGAUUGCAGG
rnacentral:rRNA from 1 species